UACGGAAGGCAGCAGUGGGGAAUAUUGCACAAUGGGCGCAAGCCUGAUGCAGCCAUGCCGCGUGUAUGAAGAAGGCCUUCGGGUUGUAAAGUACUUUCAGUCGUGAGGAAGGUGUUAAGGUUAAUAACCUUAGCAAUUGACGUUAGCGACAGAAGAAGCACCGGCUAACUCCGUGCCAGCAGCCGCGGUAAUACGGAGGGUGCGAGCGUUAAUCGGAAUUACUGGGCGUAAAGGGCACGCAGGCGGCUAAUUAAGUUGGAUGUGAAAUCCCCCGGGCUUAACCUGGGAAUGGCAUUCAAGACUGGUUAGCUAGAGUCUUGUAGAGGGGGUAGAAUUCCAUGUGUAGCGGUGAAAUGCGUAGAGAUGUGGAGGAAUACCGGUGGCGAAGGCGGCCCCUGGGACAAAGACUGACGCUCAUGUGCGAAAGCGUGGGGAGCAAACAGGAUUAGGAUACC
rnacentral:rRNA from 1 species